rnacentral:rRNA from 1 species
GACAGAGGUGCCAAGCGUUAGGCGGAAUCACUGGGCUUAAAGCGUGUGUAGGCGGAAUGGUAAGUACCUUGUGAAAUCCCACGGCUCAACCGUGGAACUGCUUGGUAUACUGCUUUUCUUGAGCCACUUAGGGGCAACCGGAACAAACGGUGGAGCGGUGAAAUGCGUAGAUAUCGUUGGAACGCCAAUGGUGCAAACAGGUUGCUGGGAGUGUGCUGACGCUGAGACACGAAAGCCAGGGGAGCAAACGGGAUUAGAACGCCGA